rnacentral:rRNA from 1 species
GAUGAACGCUGGCGGCGUGCCUAAUACAUGCAAGUCGAGCGACCAGACGAGGAGCUUGCUCCUCUGACGUUAGCGGCGGACGGGUGAGUAACACGUGGAUAACCUACCUAUAAGACUGGGAUAACUUCGGGAAACCGGAGCUAAUACCGGAUAAUAUAUUGAACCGCAUGGUUCAAUAGUGAAAGACGGUUUUGCUGUCACUUAUAGAUGGAUCCGCGCCGCAUUAGCUAGUUGGUAAGGUAACGGCUUACCAAGGCAACGAUGCGUAGCCGACCUGAGAGGGUGAUCGGCCACACUGGAACUGAGACACGGUCCAGACUCCUACGGGAGGCAGCAGUAGGGAAUCUUCCGCAAUGGGCGAAAGCUUGACGGAGCAACGCCGCGUGAGUGAUGAAGGUCUUCGGAUCGUAAAACUCUGUUAUUAGGGAAGAACAAAUGUGUAAGUAACUAUGCACGUCUUGACGGUACCUAAUCAGAAAGCCACGGCUAACUACGUG